AAACGGCUUGUGGGGCUUUACCUGUGUUGUAAGACCGGUGGGUCAUCAUUAGUAGUUGUCCAGUACAUGUACGUCUAUAGCUGUCAGUAAGUAGCCCAGGUUUUCAGGAGUUUUAUAGUAGUUGGUAGUCAGGCCUUGGGCUCUUAAUUGCUUCUUACAUUCCUGGCCAUUUCCGUUUCUCCUAAUGUUAGUGUAAAUGGCACACAUUGUUUCAAACAAUAUCUGGUGGGGUGUUGCCUAAUGGAAUUACAAGUGUUUCUUCUGACAAUAGGAAGUUGUCAAAGUUUAGGAGGGAGUCCACUUAGAAGAAUCGACCUCCCCCAUUUCAAAACAAAUCAGCACUGAUUUGAGUGACUUUGUUCGAAACUUAACAAAUCCCAAGCAGGAUUUGAGUGAGCACACUGAGGACUUUGCCGAAAAACUCGCAAAUCCUGGGAACAAAAUGAGACUUAAGUCGGCUGACUUAUCGAGUCAAUUGAAAGAAAAAUGUGCAAUCAGUGAAAAGCAGGAUGUAAGGGACGUGAAACAGAACUGGAGACAGCGAAUGAUGGAGCGCAGGAUUAAUCGUACGAAGGCUCAAGACUGUACCAGUCCAAUGGACUCCUUCGGGUCCACGGACUGUGAGAAAUCCUUCGACAGUGUCUCCUCUUCCUCAGGAAACAAGCUGUCAUUUCAGUGUGACUCGUCGACAGAGGCCUCGGAGUCCGAGUUACAUGCAACACCGGCCUCAACUCACAGUGAGCAAAAGGCCACAAAGAAAGAAAAAGAUUCCAAGAAGAGGCGAUUCCGUCGCAUGAUCACUCGGCCUUUAAGGCGCAGUCAGAGUGCAGGCUGGGAAAAAGACAUUCCAACACACUUCAUGGAAAAAAGCACUGAUGAUGAAGAUACUUUGGAGAGCCGAGCCUCAGAACUUGCGGUCUUUAGCCAACGUCUGAUAGGACACAAUGGAGACUGCGAGGACAGCUCAGCCAGGAAGCCUGUCUAUAAGACCUGCUCAGCAGACGCCACGCUGAUGGGAACUGACGAGAAUAAUCCACAGUCUCGGCUUAAAAAGCCCAGUAAUUUAGCAAAGAAUAUGAAAAAGAAAUUCCAGUUUCUUCGACGAAGAAACACAGAUACUGCGAUCGGAGGCGAGUGUCACAGUUCUUCGGUGUUCAGGCGACCCACACCAGAUCAAGUCCAGAAAUGGAGCAGGUCUUUCGACAGUCUCCUUAAUGAUAAAGGUGGUAUAGAGUUAUUCAGGGGAUUUUUACGAUCGGAGUUCAGCGAGGAGAAUCUAGAGUUCUGGAUUGCGUGUCAGGAAUACAAACAGUGUGAGGACUCUCAAAUGCUUCCCUCACAAAGCCAAAAGAUAUACGGCGACUUUGUAGCUGUGCAAGCUCCGAAAGAGAUCAAUUUGGAUUCUAAAACACGAAUGAUAACUGUGACUAACUUGGAGCACCCUACAAGACACGCAUUUGAAGAUGCACAGAAAAAAAUUCAAGCUUUAAUGGAAAAAGACUCUUACCCCCGAUUCCUUGAAUCAGACCUUUACCUUCAGUUACUGAACAAUACGCCAUCAAGUUCUAAAGCCUAAUGAGGAUAAAUAUGAUGGAUAGAAAAGGAAUCAACUGUUGCUUUGUUGUAAAUACAGAUUGUGAUCUCAGACUCAAGUUGGCUUUCAGGCAUGUAAAUAGACAAACAUUUUUUUUCCAUAAUUAUCUCUGUAUUUUGUAUGUUCGCUCAUGACUGUUCUAUUUUUUAAUGAAAAAAUGGAAUACUGUUGUUUUUUAUUUUUAAAGUUCAUUGUUAUAUUGCAUUUUAUUGUUUCCUGAUGAAUUACAUCAUCUCCAAAUCUAAAAAGAAGAUUUGGAAAAAAUUUUAUCACGUGUUCUUUUUGUACAUACAUUUCUAGACUUACAAUGGGUAUUUUUCAUCUAAAAGUGUCAGUGAAUUAUAAUAUCUUCAGCCAAAAUCAACAAUUUUUUUCUUAAAAAGACAAUACAGAAAUUUCUUUUCAUCAAUGAAAAUACUCCCUCUUGAUGAAGUUAUUGUAUUACAAGUAUUUCCACAAAAUCCAUUUUUUGUGGUUUUGUAGUAUGUAUCAAAGAAUUAAAAAUACUACAGGAACACAAAAAUACAUGUAUAACCCUUAAGAAACCACAGGAUCAAUAAAUAGGACUAAAUAAGGUAACAGAGUUAAUUUGAAUAUGUCCAUACAAGAUUACAGUAUAAAGAUAUACAAUAUUAAACAUUUUUAAAAAAUGUUCUAAUUAGAACAUUUUUUUUCUUACAAAACAAUGAAAUGUGUCUGUAUAGCCCUGCACCCCCCCCCCCCAACACAAUCUAUCCAAACAAGGAGAGGUACCUCAUAUAGAUGAUUUUUCCCCAAUUCGAUUGCAGCUGUAGAAAUAUAUAAAUUGAUACUUAUCCCUUUUUUAAGAAAAGCCUGACAAUCUAACAUUGAUUAACUUUUUAUAAAUUGUAUAAGACAGCAGGUGUCCUAUAUUCUAUCGAACAUAUUGUUAAUCAAUUCCAUCCUGUUAUGAAUUAAUCAAGAGUAGAGUCAAGUCCUUUGUAUGGUCUGUAAGUUUCUGGCACAGUAGAGUGGGCAGUUUUUGGGAUGACAGUUGAAUGAGCUUCCUGGGUAACCAGCCCAGGCAAAGUGUCAGUCAUUAUUAUAUAGUCUGGAUUCCUCCCUUAAGUCACACAGAUUAUCUGCAGUACAUGACAAGACAAUUAGCAGAGUAAAGGAAAAGAAGAUUUGUUCAAGAAAGCAACAAUCAACUUUGCCCUUUUGAGCAAAGAAAGGAUGUAUUUUCUGUUUGGUUCUCUUGUCCUCAACAGCCGCGUUGUUGUUUACAGUUAUUGAACUUAGAAUUUGUUUUGAAUCUGUCGUGUGAUAUUGGGUUGCUAUGAUGUACAAGCGACCACUUUGCAUUUGGUCAUCACUUGAUUGUUUUUAAGAUGUUUGUAUUCUUUACCAUUGAAUAAUAUUGGUCAAUUUAAUUCUUAUCAACUUACUGUUACUAAGGUUUGUGUACAGAUCGUAAACAUUUCCAUUUAUGGGAAAUGUUAAUAUUUUGAUUAUAUCAUGUCUUUGCUACAGAGAUUUCUUCAUCUUUAUCCAUCUCUUAUUAUUGUUAAUUAUCCAAUCCUUCAUAACAAUCACGUGACAUCCGGCUGUUUACAAUCUUGUUCCAACCUUUGAAAUCCAGGUUUUUUUCCACUUCCCAUAUUAUGAAAAUUGUUUUUACUACAGAUUUUACUGUAAUAAAAUACACUAAAAUCAAU
rnacentral:misc_RNA from 1 species